AGGCAUCAGAGGUGGGCAAGACCCUGGCUCCCUGCAGCCCCUCCCCAGCACCCCAUGAAGGAGAUUGGCGACAUUUGAUGCAAAGCCUCAGCUGCUGGAGUAACGUGAUUAUAUGAGACUCUCAGCUUCCAUGACAACAAUAAGUGCAAAGCAGCAGCCGCGUGACCAGCUGUGCCGGGACCCCCCAAGCCGUGCUUGCCGAGCCCC